AGGAAAAGAAACUAACAAGGAUUCCCCUAGUAACUGCGAGUGAAGCGGGAUGAGCUCAAAUUUAAAAUCUGGCGUCUUCGGCGUCCGAGUUGUAAUUUAGAGAAGCGUUUUCCGCGCCGGACCGUGUACAAGUCUCCUGGAACGGAGCGUCAUAGAGGGUGAGAAUCCCGUCUUUGACACGGAUCCCCGGUGCUCUGUGAUACGCUCUCGAAGAGUCGAGUUGUUUGGGAAUGCAGCUCAAAAUGGGUGGUGAACUCCAUCUAAAGCUAAAUAUUGGCGAGAGACCGAUAGCGAACAAGUACCGUGAGGGAAAGAUGAAAAGCACUUUGGAAAGAGAGUGAAACAGUACGUGAAAUUGUUGAAAGGGAAACGCUUGAAGUCAGUCGCGUCUGCCGGGAUUCAGCCUUACGGUGUACUUUCCGGUGGACGGGCCAGCAUCACUUUCGAUCAUCGGAAAAAGGCGAAGGGAAUGUGGCACCUCCGGGUGUGUUAUAGCCCUUUGUUGUAUACGGUGACCGGGAGUGAGGACCGCCUUUGUAGGAUGCUGGCGUAAUGGCUUUAAACGACCGC
rnacentral:rRNA from 1 species